rnacentral:rRNA from 1 species
GACGAACGCUGGCGGCGUGCCUAAUACAUGCAAGUUGAGCGCUGAAGGUUGGUACUUGUACCAACUGGAUGAGCAGCUAACGGGUGAGUAACGCGUGGGGAAUCUGCCUUUGAGCGGGGGACAACAUUUGGAAACGAAUGCUAAUACCGCAUAAAAACUUUAAACACAAGUUUUAAGUUUGAAAGAUGCAAUUGCAUCACUCAAAGAUGAUCCCGCGUUGUAUUAGCUAGUUGGUGAGGUAAAGGCUCACCAAGGCGAUGAUACAUAGCCGACCUGAGAGGGUGAUCGGCCACAAUGGGACUGAGACACGGCCCAAACUCCUACGGGAGGCAGCAGUAGGGAAUCUUCGGCAAUGGACGAAAGUCUGACCGAGCAACGCCGCGUGAGUGAAGAAGGUUUUCGGAUCGUAAAACUCUGUUGGUAGAGAAGAACGUUGGUGAGAGUGGAAAGCUCAUCAAGUGACGGUAACUACCCAGAAAGGGACGGCUAACUACGUG